ensembl:lncRNA
GUGAGCAAGCCGGUGGGGGGCGGGGAGCGGCCGCGGCCAGACCCACCGGCAGCCAGGCGGGCGGGCGGACGUUUCCCGGAGCGGUCUCCACUGUCCCAGCCUCCGAGGGAGCGGUGAGGAGCGGCCGCGAGGAUUCGGGGCGCGAGAGGGCGGGGAGCGAGUUCGUGAGGAGACCGCGGCUUGUGCGGGGCGCAGUGUCGGGCUGGGGGCUGUGUGACAGCGGCUGUCAGCGCCCCGCGGGAAAGGAACCGAGUCAGUCUGAGGGUCGGGGCGUCGCUUCUGGCGCAUAAUGGAGGCGUCAGGCUGCCUGGCGCCUGUUCCCCCUGGGAAGGAAUCGCUUUCUCAGGCAGCCGACUGCCCGGGACCCCCAGACACCCGGUCGGGUCCGCGCCCUGACUGGUGACUUCCCGGUGGUCAUUUGCAAUUUAACAGCCCCGCUUGCCGCCCCUCAGCGGGCGUUAACCUGUGUCGCCUGCCCUGCCCUGCCCUGCGUGUUGCUCGGGGAGAGCCUGCGGCGUCGGAUAAUCCUCUCCCUCUCCGGCCCCCUAAGGAGCUUUGAAUCAGCCUUGUUAACCUUUCCUCCCACCUCCUCUCCUUUCACCCCCUAAAGACUGCCUUGAAGUUUCCCAGUCUGUUCCGUUCCCACGUAAUGACAAAUCUUGAAGCAGGAGGCUGAUAAACAACCCCAAACCAAAAUAUGCUCAAAAUUUUUCCUUUCGGUAAACAUAAAUUAAACGGGAAACUCAUCUUAACCAAACCGUUUCUGGACUAGCAGUGCUAAAAGCCUGUCUUGCCUUGGCACGAGAAUUGGGAGCUGUUCCCUUUAGCUUUUUGGGCUGCCUCUGAAGAAAGGAGAAUGGCGUUCAGCAAAGGAUUUCGGAUCUAUCACAAAUUGAUCCCCCACCUUUCAGCCUCAUAGUGGAAACUAGGCAUAAAGAAGAAUGUCUCAUGUUCGAGUCUGGGGCUGUGGCUGUGCUGUAUGUCAAGUAUUGUGUCUCAGCGGCAAAGAAUGGAACUAAGACAAUGAUGGAGUAGCAGGAACUGGAUUUCCCUCCCUCCUUAAAUAACAAUAACAACAAUAAUAAAAUGAAUAAAGUGGGGCCAGGGAUUUAGCUCAGUGGUUUCACUGCCUGCUGCACAAGCACAAGGACCCGAGUUCGAUCCCCGGUACCAAAAAAAAAAAGAAAAGAAAAAAUGAAUAAAAUAUAUGAAAUGAUUUUCAGACAUUGAGCAUUAGGUAGCACAAAUUGACCCCUGAGAGAAAUGAAACAAAUGAGAUAGGCCUUAAAAUUGCUCCAUAAUGUACUCAUGUUGAACCUGGCAGGCUCCCAGAGUUGAAGAGACAAUAGGGAAUAUGUGGAGCCCAAGGCAGCAGGACCCCUCAGUGCUGAGUACCAGAAAGGAGAUAGCAAGACUUCACCUGAGUAGUAACCAACGUCAGUGUACGAAGAGACUACCCAAGGCAGGAAAAAGCACUGAAAAGGAAAAAGCAGAAAAGUGUUUGGAGCCCGUAUGUUUGGAAAUAAUUCAUUUUGAACAUCUAGAGUGGAAAAGUCUUGUAUUAUGCAGGGAAUUGGGUUGCACACUCAAAAGGGUGUAGUGCUUCAGUAAUGGGGCAAAAUAACCUUAGACUAAAUUCUGCUCUGGUCCUACCUCACAAAGCUUAAAUGGGAGAUCCACAAGGGUCACACUGUUUCCCAAUAACUUAAUCUCCAAAUAACUAUUUCAGAACAAAGUUUCAGAAUAUUUACAGGAAUACAAACACACACACACAUAUAUGUACAUAUAUUUAUGAGACGUGUAUGUAUGCUAUAUAUCAUUCAACCUUGUAAAAUUCACAAUUAAAAGUUAGCUUAUAUAUGAAAAAGCAGAAAAUACAUCUCAUGAUGAAAAGAAAAGCCAGUCUGUAGAAACAGAUGCUAAAAUUAGUAAGGGACAUUAAAACAGCUAUCAUAAAUAUACCCCAUGUUCAAGAAGUAGAGAAAAGAAUGAGCAUAAGGAGAAAUGUGAAAAAUAUGACUCAAAUUUUUAGAAAGUGAAAAUAACUUUUGAAAAAAAUGCACUGAUCAAGGAAUUAGAUUUGAUGCUACUGAAGAAAUAAAUGGUUCGUAAACUUGAAGACAUAGUAAUGGAAUAUCCAAAAUGAAAUAUAUAGAGAAAAAAAUAUCUAAAAUAAGCAGAGCACCUAAAAUAAACAGCACCAGUGAAUUGUGGGACAACUUUAAGUGGCCUAAUGUAUAUAUGCAAUUAGAAUCAAAAGGAAGGCGUUGAGAAAAGAAAAUGAAGAAGUAAUAUAAUAGGCCAUUUUCCAUAUUUAAUGAAAACUCUAAAUGCACAGAUCCAAGAGACUAAAUGAGCCCUAAGCAGAGGAAACAAAGAAAACUGCACCCAAAUGCAUAAUCAAAUCCCCAAUUACCAGUGAUACAGAGAAAAUCUUAAAAGUAUCCCAAGGAGAAGAGGAUAUACAUGGUACAGAGGAGUAAGGAUAAGAAUGAGAUGUGUCAUGUACAUGUACCAACUCGCCAUGAGAAAUAUCAUUAUGUACUACAAACAUACUAAUGAAAUAUUUUUUAAUACAUUAAAAAAUGGUUUUUUACUUUAGAAGUAAUUCAAGCCAGGAGACAUAAUUAAUGACUUUACAGUAUUGAAAGGGAAAAAGAACAAAAGCAUCCUAGGGUUCUAUGUCUAACCAUAAAGGAAGAAGAUACAAAGAUAUUUCAACAUUGAAAAGCUAAAAGACAUGAGCUAAAUAUAGUGAGAAAUAGUAAAAUAGUAUUGCUUUUGUUUUUAUGUAAUCCCAACAUUUUCAGAAACUGAAGUGAUAAAUUCUAAAUCAGUGAGAUUUUGAAAGAAGCAUAAAGAAUAGAAUGGACUAGGGUAGUUGGUUAGCCUCAAAAUUAAAGUACCAAGAAGAGGUAUAGAUUUAAAAAUUCCCUGUCAUAUUUUUACUGGUGACAAUUUAAAUUUACCUGUUUGAGUUUUUAAUAAGAAUUUUUGUUUUCAUUUUUCCAAAAUUCUAUAGAUUUUGCAACUGAGUGAAAAGACUUAUUAAAUUCUCAAAUAUUAGUAUUCUGUAUAUGAAAUAAUUGUUUUUCCAUUUUAUUAGUCUUCCUAUGUAACUUUUUAUAUGUAAAGUAUCUUUAUAUAAAUUAGCUCUUAGUAAUGUUUUUAGUAUAGGUUAUAUUUCAUUUGGUUCACUAGUAGACUGUAGGACUGCUGUAGUCUGUUGAAUGCCUUAUUGAAAAGCAGAUAGUCUUUUAGUAUCCUGUGGAUCAUGUGUAGAGUGUAGCAGAAUGAAUCUUAUAAUUAAAUUUCUG